GUCCAGACUCCUACGGGAGGCAGCAGUGGGGAAUAUUGCACAAUGGGGGAAACCCUGAUGCAGCGACGCCGCGUGAGCGAUGAAGUAUUUCGGUAUGUAAAGCUCUAUCAGCAGGGAAGAAGAUGGCGGUACCUGACUAAGAAGCCCCGGCUAACUACGUGCCAGCAGCCGCGGUAAUACGUAGGGGGCAAGCGUUAUCCGGAUUUACUGGGUGUAAAGGGAGCGUAGACGGCGGCGCAAGCCAGAUGUGAAAGCCCGGGGCUCAACUCCGGGACUGCAUUUGGAACUGUGUGGCUGGAGUGUCGGAGAGGCAGGCGGAAUUCCUAGUGUAGCGGUGAAAUGCGUAGAUAUUAGGAGGAACACCAGUGGCGAAGGCGGCCUGCUGGACGAUGACUGACGUUGAGGCUCGAAAGCGUGGGGAGCAAACAGGAUUAGAUACCCCAGUAUAG
rnacentral:rRNA from 1 species